AUUGAACGCUGGCGGCAUGCUUUACACAUGCAAGUCGAACGGCAGCGCGGGCUUCGGCCUGGCGGCGAGUGGCGAACGGGUGAGUAAUACAUCGGAACGUGCCCAGUAGUGGGGGAUAGCUCGGCGAAAGCCGGAUUAAUACCGCAUACGACCUGAGGGUGAAAGCGGGGGAUCUACGGACCUCGCGCUAUUGGAGCGGCCGAUGGCAGAUUAGCUAGUUGGUGGGGUAAAGGCCUACCAAGGCGACGAUCUGUAGCUGGUCUGAGAGGACGACCAGCCACACUGGGACUGAGACACGGCCCAGACUCCUACGGGAGGCAGCAGUGGGGAAUUUUGGACAAUGGGCGAAAGCCUGAUCCAGCAAUGCCGCGUGUGUGAUGAAGGCCUUCGGGUUGUAAAGCACUUUUGGCGGGAACGAAAAGGACUGUGCCAAUACCACGGUUCGAUGACGGUACCCGCAGAAUAAGCACCGGCUAACUACGUG
rnacentral:rRNA from 1 species